CCGUCUAUAAACAGCUGUCCUCACUCACUGUCGUGCUGGUCUGUGCUUUAGUACAAGCUUCAGAGGCUGCUGAACCUCGGAUCCACCUGUCCAUCUGCUCUGAGCACUCUUCUGGUCUCCAUCUAAAGUCUGCCGGCACCGAAAUGGACACCCAACCUUGGUUCUUCACAAAAUCCAGUGGGCAACUAGUACAUCCAAACUAAGUCAGAGCCCACCCCCGGAACUGAUGCUGUCAGUAACUGAUUAAGGACAGACUUUCUCAUUUUAAAAUUGCCCUGAGUGGCAUUCAUUAGCUAUUCAGUCCUCCAGUGACUUCUCAGGCAACUGAUCUCAAAUGAAUCAAUGACUGCAAAUCAGCUUUCCCUUUGGCCCUCGCUCACAAAGCCAAGUCGGCCUCCAAAGGUACUUAGAAGAAAGGCCUCUUCUGUCUCUCAGUGGAAAAUCAAUACUGCGCGCUGGAGGGGGAAGAGGGAGAGGUAAAGCGUCCUCUUCACACCACACGGAGCUCCCCAGCAUCUCGGAGGAAAGGGAAGGCCCCUCCUGGAGCACACUCCGGAUAACUGAAAAGCUCAGCGGGGCGGGUGCACACAGCUGACCGGCUGAGGGGACCCAGCGGUGGCCUGGGUUGAAGUCAGGACCAGUCCCUCUCCGGCGGUUUCCACCAGACUCCCUGAGCUCAGCAGGAGCUGAAGACUUUUCUACUGAUCUUUUCGGCUAUUAAUCAGUCAGAGUGUGAGAUAACUUCUGAGAUGCAAUAUGCCCUGAUAUUAAACUAUGCAAAGGUGCUGUUGGGUUGUAA